rnacentral:lncRNA from 1 species
UCACCGAACCAUUAGCAGGAGUAUCUAUCACCAUGCUUCCGUCUAGGGACGACAUAAUCACACCAAUCCUAGUCGCACACUCAUACGAAAUAAACGAAUGGGUAGCACCAGUGUCAACAAUAGCAAGCAUUCAACAUUAUUAAUCAAGCAAGUACUUUAAUCAGAUUAUCCCUUAGGAGCUUCAGCCCCACUCAGAGCAAACACCCUACCAGUAGUAUGAGCUGCAGUAGCCGCCUUCUUCGGUUUCGAGCACUGCGAACUGAUAUGACCUUUUCGCCACAAUUAAAACAUGUCGGACCAGCAUCCUU